rnacentral:rRNA from 1 species
AUAUUGCGCAAUGGGGGAAACCCUGACGCAGCAACGCCGCGUGAGUGAGGAAGGUCUUCGGAUUGUAAAACUCUGUUCUUAGGGAAAAAUGUCUCUAGGGUUAAUACCCCUUGAGAGUGAUGGUACCUAAGUAGAAAGCACCGGCUAACUUCGUGCCAGCAGCCGCGGUAAUACGAAGGGUGCAAGCGUUGUUCGGAAUCAUUGGGCGUAAAGCGCGCGCAGGCGGAUUGAUAAGUCAGGUGUGAAAUCUCGAGGCUCAACCUCGAAACUGCGCCUGAAACUAUUAGUCUAGAAUGUCGGAGGGGGCAGGGGAAUUUCACGUGUAGGGGUAAAAUCCGUAGAGAUGUGAAGGAACACCGGAGGCGAAGGCGCCUGCCUGGACGACUAUUGACGCUGAGGCGCGAAAGCGUGGGGAGCAA